rnacentral:rRNA from 1 species
GCUUGUCUCAAAGAUUAAGCCAUGCAUGUCUAAGUGUAAACAAUUUUAUACAGUGAAACUGCGAAUGGCUCAUUAAAUCAGUUAUAGUUUAUUUGAUAGUACCUUACUACUUGGAUAACCGUGGUAAUUCUGCAGCUAAUACAUGCGUUAAAACCCGACUUUUUUGGAAGGGUUGUACUUAUUAGAUUAAAACCAGCCCGGGCAACCGGUCCUUUGGUGAUUCAUGAUAACUUUGCGAAUCGCAUAGCUUUAAUGCUGGCGAUGGGUCAUUCAAAUUUCUGCCCUAUCAACUUUCGACGGUAGGAUAGAGGCCUACUGUGGUGAUAACGGGUAACGAAGAAUAAGGGUUCGAUUUCGGAGAGGGAGCCUGAGAAACGGCUACCACAUCCAAGGAAGGCAGCAGG